rnacentral:lncRNA from 1 species
CAGAUAAUAUGCAAAAUUCAAACUCCUGUCAUUGAAGUCUUGCAUAUGAAACUAAAAGGAGAUAGGAAAGAGUCGGACCUCAAAACAAAGUAAUUUGAAUCUAAAAAUGCGUAACAACCUCGACGGGAUUGCGAAUCUACCCAAAAACUUUAAAUCCGACACCAACUUCGAACGGACCUCUCUUCGGACAGAAAAUGGAACUCGAAUCUCUUUGAGAAAACCUCAACUGAAACCAAGUUGUCAACGAAGCCCGAAC